rnacentral:rRNA from 1 species
UGGGGAAUAUUGCACAAUGGGCGCAAGCCUGAUGCAGCAACGCCGCGUGAGCGAUGAAGGCCUUCGGGUCGUAAAGCUCUGUCCUCAAGGAAGAUAAUGACGGUACUUGAGGAGGAAGCCCCGGCUAACUACGUGCCAGCAGCCGCGGUAAUACGUAGGGGGCUAGCGUUAUCCGGAUUUACUGGGCGUAAAGGGUGCGUAGGCGGUCUUUCAAGUCAGGAGUUAAAGGCUACGGCUCAACCGUAGUAAGCUCCUGAUACUGUCUGACUUGAGUGCAGGAGAGGAAAGCGGAAUUCCCAGUGUAGCGGUGAAAUGCGUAGAUAUUGGGAGGAACACCAGUAGCGAAGGCGGCUUUCUGGACUGUAACUGACGCUGAGGCACGAAAGCGUGGGGAGCAAACAG